rnacentral:lncRNA from 12 species
AUGAAGGGCUCUGAUAAGGCAGAAAGGGGAUUUAAGGAGCUCCUUGGGCCCCAAGGUGUUGCACUCUGGGAGAGUGAGCACAGAAUCCUUUCAGGGUUUGAUAGAAGUGCUGAAGCUCUGCUGAAAGGAAGUGUGAUGGAGGUGCUUAACUGGGGCAGCCCGAUAACAACUGCUUUGAACAGUAUCCUUACCAUCACCAUGCAUGAUUUUCUCUUAUGGGCUUGAUGAAGAUUCAGCUAGAGUCUUUGCACUGGCUGUGAGCUCCCUCUGUCCUUGGCCAAGUUUGAAGUCUGAUUUUAUGGCUCUGACUCUUCUCUGGUGCACUGUAAGUACAAGUAUAUAUUAAGCGCAUUUCUUUUUUAUUUUUUUUUUUUUUUU